rnacentral:rRNA from 1 species
UGGGGAAUAUUGCGCAAUGGGCGGAAGCCUGACGCAGCGACGCCGCGUGGGGGAUGAAGGCCUUCGGGUUGUAAACCUCUUUCAGCGGGGACGAAGCCUCCUUGCGGGGGUGACUGUACCCGCAGAAGAAGCACCGGCUAACUACGUGCCAGCAGCCGCGGUAAUACGUAGGGUGCAAGCGUUGUCCGGAAUUAUUGGGCGUAAAGAGCUCGUAGGCGGUUUGUCACGUCGGAUGUGAAAACCCGAGGCUUAACCUUGGGCCUGCAUUCGAUACGGGCUGACUAGAGUUCGGCAGGGGAGACUGGAAUUCCUGGUGUAGCGGUGAAAUGCGCAGAUAUCAGGAGGAACACCGGUGGCGAAGGCGGGUCUCUGGGCCGAUACUGACGCUGAGGAGCGAAAGCGUGGGGAGCGAACAG